AAGCCCCCUACCUGGGGGAGAAGAGCCCGGAGCGGACGGGCUGGCUGGUGCCCGGGCCACCCUGUCCGUUUGGGAAAGUCCAUCUGAUUCUCCACGCAUUCUUGAGGACUUGGUCACCCGCUCCCGCCCCCUCCCGGGAGCGGCAUAGUUUUCUAAGUGCGUGUCCAUCAUUCAUUCACAAAGACUGACACACAGGACGUGAGGCAGCGGCUGGAGGGGCGUGCGUGAGAGCAAGGGGCUCCGAGCCAGUGUCCUCAAAGGGCUCUGGGAAUACUGGACUCCGGCCGCUUGGUGACUCAGGGAUCGGGGUUGUAUUGCUGGAGGAGCCUUCGAUUUUUCCAGAGCCCACCCGCGUCAUCGUUAAGAAAUCAGUUAAGAAAUGAGCUGCCCUUGAUAAGAAUCUAGCUGCCACUGGUAUGGAUGGAGCCCAAGGCUGCCUCCUGGAGACCCCAGAACAAAGGCCCAACGACUUCUAUAGUAUUAGGAAAGUCAAGAACUGGGCCCCCAAACUGGAAUCCAGUCCUGGGCUUCCUUGAACUUCCAGUUUCCCUUCAUCAGUGGUUCUGUUCCUCUAAUUAUGUCACCAUUGGCCAAAGUUUUGUCUUUGCUUUCACAAACUCCUCUACUGGAUAAAACUGACAAUCCUCCUAUUGCCACUGUCUAAAACAUGAUGCACAGCUCUGUGGUUUGAAAUUUCUGGAGUACAUCUUUCUCAGCCAUGACAGAAUCACAGUUUCAGCCCCCUUUUCCAUUUGGGAAGCCCAGACACUUAGGAUACCCUAACAUGACCCCUGCAUAAUUAAUAGUUUGCCACUGGUGCAUUGGUUAUAAAAGGAGAGAGUUGGUCCUAAUUAACAAAUCAAGCAGUAGACAUAGAAGUGCGCACCUAGACACACGUACAUAUAUCGGGAGCCAGGCAUUGACCUAUCUUUGAUGAACUAAAAGAUUAAACAUAAAUCUCUCUGAACAACCUCCGAGAAAGCUAUUUUUAAUCCUGUUUCCUGAUUUCUAAGCAUAUGUUAACUCCCACCACAUGGUUAUAACUGUAACCUCAGCCUCUGAUAAGUCUUAACACACCUGCUUACCUCAUCUAACUCCAGUUUUGUCCUCUUGAAGUAUAGUAAUUUACAGGUUUCCCACAACCAGGGAAGAAAGGAGCCAGGAAGAGAAGAUAAAUCUCAAAUCUCGGGCUCCUGGUUCAAACUUGAGAUUAUGCUCGUCUUCCAGUGACUCUGCAGAGUGAAGUAUUUGUACGAUAGACGAAGGAUUGUUGUCAUCCAGCUGUGUUUCCCAAAGACAAUCCUGGAAGAUCCUGAAGACUGUCCCUCUCCAGAAGUGUAGUGGAAUACAUUGUCUCUUUCUCGCAUCUUGACCAAAAACUAAAGAAUCUCAGAGUUGUGAGCUAAAAUACGCUUUAUUAAAGAGCCAAAGAGACGAAGCCUUCUUUAACUUACAAAGAGACAGCUGGGCUCACUCAGCUCAUUGCGUCACCCAGAGCGAAGGAGUUGGAAGGGAGCGGAUGGUCCUGGUGAUGACGCAUGAGGUGGAAGAGAUUCGGCUCACAUCUCAUCUAUAUGGAUUGGCUAGCAUACAAUGAAAACCUUUCUCCCUUUGCCUUGAUGGAGACAGGAGAGGCUAACCCGGUGUGUGUGACGUGCAAGAAGGCGCCAUUUAAUCAGUCAGCCAGAGAAGUCCUUUCAAGUGUUGGGGGCUCUGAGAUGAUAGGUCUCCUGAUUAGCUUUCCUCUGCCCGGAACGUCUGCAAAGCGCCUAGAGAUAGACAGCUAAUGUUCCACUUCUCUGACUUUCCCCCAACACCGAUCGCUGGGCUUUGAAAAAGCCACCUCGUCACUAUUGUCGGGUUUGUUCAGGCGACAAGCUCAUCCAGAGCUCAAGAUUGUGACUUCAUUCUCAGAUCUUGCCUUAAGGAAGAGUCAUCCACAACCUCGAAGAUAUGGAUAAAGUAGGAUAAUAA